ACCCGGAAUCUAUUGCAUUCAUGAUGCAGAUUGUAUAAGUGACCCUUUUGCCUGCCAACCGACCAUAAAAAGGCGGUUUUGGAACGAAGUAAAAUUCUAAAUUAGUCGUAUUUUGUCGUCAACUAUACAAGUGUUUGAAUAUUUUUCAGUCAUGCCGACGUCUCCUGUUAAAACGCGUAUUCCGCUCACUAGUUUCGGCCACCUGAUAACAGAGGUGAAGAGACAACUAUUUGGUAUCGAGGCGCCAGCGUCGGUGGAGCUGACCGGUUUGAAAAAGUACUUCAACAGCUACACAAUGCAGGGACGCCGAAAUAGGCAUCUAUAGACCCUACCCACGUGACGUCUCAACUCAGCCCUCCUGACUGGUGCCGCCCAAUUGUCCGUCAACACAUCGUGUUUACCUGUUACGGCUACGUACAUUCCUCCUAUUUACGGCGUGUUUUUCUGCUCGUUAACAUUAAUAAUCAAAAUGGUGAAGGCGUGUGUGGCGGUCGGUUGCAAUAACAGAGAAGAUAGACGGAGAGACUUGAAGUUCUACCGGAUUCCGAGAGACCCGGAGAGGAGAGAGCGAGAUGGGCUGCUGCAAUUCGACGAGAAAACUGGGCUCCAAACGAUUACCACAGAUUAUGUAGUAGUCAUUUUGUAUCUGUGUGUCUUGGCUACUUACGGCAUCCUCCUGGCAACAGCGACAGCCUAUUUCAUGCACCGGCAGAAUAAAAAAGAAGCUCCGAAGAACUGCGAAGCCUGAAAAAAACAAAUGUAGCUAAGACCUUGUUCAGACUGGCAGGCAAAAUCUGAUUUUUAGCCCAUCCAGAUUGACAUUGAAUGGCUCUUUUGUUGUCUGAACAGUCACAAAGCACAGAAAUCUUGAUUUUUGCAAGACUGAUUGAAACCACAUAAGGGAGGUAGUUUCGUAUCAGAUUAGAAUAAGAUGCUUCUCAGUCUGAAUACCUCAAAUGCGAUUUGACUGUCGGUGAUGUCACUCUAUGCUGGAUGCCGCCUUUGUUGCCACGGCAUCCUGUCAGGUGUUUCAAUAAUGUGGCCCAGAGCAGGCCCGGAUCUGGUUUGGACUUUUGCUAAAAAUAGUGUGAACAGUCAGCCCUAAAAAUCCAUUUUGAUGAGGAAAUCGAUUGGAAUCAGAUAUGCCUCCAGUCUGAACGCAGCCUAAGCCAGUAUGCCAUUAUUUAUUAUUGUAAAGACAGUAUGUGACGGAAAUAAAGGUGUUUCACGAUCUGUGUGUUGUCUUUAACUCAUUUCUACUGUUCAUACGUCAUCGUUUAAUUUACAGUUCUCAUUGAUUCGAACCUGUAGUCUAGGGCUGCAGCUAUCGAUUAUUUAUUAUUGUAUAGACAGUAUGUGACGGAAAUAAAGGUGUUUAACGAUCUGUAUGUUGUCUUUAACUCAUUUCUACUGUUCAUACGUCAUCGUUUAAUUUACAGUUCUCACUGAUUCGAACCUGUAGUCUAGGGCUGCAGCUAUCGAUUAUUUUUGUCGAUUAAUCGAUGAACUAGUUCGAAUAAUCGAGUAAUCGGAUAAGGAACAUGAAAAAUUAAAAUACCUGAGCUGAGCCUCAAACGGUAUAUUAAAAGAAUAAGCAUCUAUGUACAACAAAAGAACAAUUGGCUAACUUACAUAGCAAAAUUCCGCUAGCUUAAAUGCUACAAAAUGCUAACAUUUUUUAAACAAUCCUCUUCACAAAUGGUUCAGACACAUAUUCCCACAACAAAUGGCUAAAUAUACCUAUAAAUUAUGAAUGCAUUAAAAAACAUUAGCUCAAACAAAAACUUAACGUUGGUCUUAACAGGGAGCAGUUGGAUUCAGCAAUGUGAAAUGAUGCAGACCAGAGGGCAUGUGUAUCCACCCUAAUCAAUAAAACUAAAUGCAAACACUUUCAAAAUAAAGCAUUACAACACCACUUUAAUUAAACGAAUAAUCGAAGCAAUAAAAUUUAUUUAUUGUGAAUAUUUUCUAAUCGAAUACUCGAGUUAAUCGAUUAAUCGUUGCAGCAGUAUUGUAGUCGCAGUGGGUGUGUAGUGAACAUGUUUAUCUUUUCAAAGAGGCAUAACAUUCUGGGAACAGCCAGUCAUUUCUUACAUUUGAAAAGCAAAAGUAACCCACAAGAUUUCGAUUUCACUCUUGUCACACGGAAAGCCGUCAUCGCAGGACAGCAGGCGUUGUUGGGCCGGGAGAUUUUUGGCAGAUAAUUGUAUUCUGGAGCUUCAUUAGUAUGUAGAGUGAAUGAAUUAUACACAACAGCAACAGACCAGGAGAAGCAAAAAUGUUCCACACUGCUUUUGUUAGUGUUUAUCUUUGCACAAAAAAAAUAUAAUCUGUACAUUUAUUUAUUAUACUGUAUGAAAUAGUAUGACUGUAUGACUUUGAACGCACCUAAAUUGUAAAAAAUAAAAACUACCUGAGAGUUUGUUAACAGUUAAAAAAAACAAAAAAAAGUUUCAAAAAACAGCUAAAACACACAUAAAGGCACAGGACCUUAAUUAUUAGAUUACUCCAUUUUAAAUUGAGCAAGACAGAUUUAAUUUUAGUAUAUUUUGUUUUGAAACCACAUUGCUGAUAGUUAUUGUUUUUCCAUGUGCUUAUAUAACUCAAAUAUGUUCCUAAUUAUGGAGG